UACGGGGGGGGCAAGCGUUGUUCGGAAUUACUGGGCGUAAAGGGCCAGUAGGCGGCCAACUAAGUCCGACGUGAAAUCCCAAGGCUUAACCUUGGAACUGCGUCGGAUACUGGAUGGCUUGAAUUCGGGAGAGGGAUGCAGAAUUCCAGGUGUAGCGGUGAAAUGCGUAGAUAUCUGGAGGAAUACCGGUGGCGAAGGCGGCAUCCUGGACCGACAUUGACGCUGAGGAGCGAAAGCGUGGGGAGCGAACAGG
rnacentral:rRNA from 1 species